UACGAGGGGGGGCAAGCGUUGUUCGGAAUUAUUGGGCGUAAAGGGUGCGUAGGCGGUUUGGUAAGUCUGAUGUGAAAUCUAUGGGCUCAACUCAUAGUCUGCAUCGGAAACUGCUGGGCUUGAGUGUGGGAGAGGUGAGUGGAAUUCCUGGUGUAGCGGUGAAAUGCGUAGAUAUCAGGAGGAACACCUGUGGCGAAAGCGGCUCACUGGACCAUAACUGACGCUGAGGCGCGAAAGCUAGGGGAGCAAACAGG
rnacentral:rRNA from 1 species